rnacentral:tRNA from 1 species
GCUUGGGUGGCGGAAUGGUAGACGCUGAGGACUUAAAAUCCUCUGACCGUAAGGUCGUACGGGUUCAAGUCCCGUCCCGAGCACCA